rnacentral:rRNA from 1 species
AUUGAACGCUGGCGGCAGGACUAACACAUGCAAGUCGAACGGAGUGGCGGACGGGUGAGUAAUGCCUAGGAAUCUGCCUGGUAGUGGGGGAUAACGUCCGGAAACGGGCGCUAAUACCGCAUACUAUCAGAUGAGCCUAGGUCGGAUUAGCUAGUGGGGGGGGUAAAGGCCUACCACGGCGACGAUCCGUAACGGGUCUGAGAGGAUGAUCAGGCACACUGGAACUGAGACACGGUCCAGACUCCUCCGGGAGGCAGCAGUGGGGAAUAUUGGACAAUGGGCGAAAGCCUGAUCCAGCCAUGCCGCGUGUGUGAAGAAGGUCUUCGGUUUGUAAAGCACUUUAAGUUGGGAGGCGUUACCAACAGAAUAAGCACCGGCUAACUUCGUGCCAGCAGCCGCGGUAAUUC